UUCAAAAAUGAAAAUGAAAGAAUUUGUGAGUUUCACUCCUCCUUGCCAAGAAUAAUUCAGAUACUUUCAUUGAAAAGCAGGUACAAACUCACAUGAGCAAACAGCACCAGGGACUAAGAUAUAUUCUCAUAAGAGAGAAACAACAACAACAUGAACCCAAUUGGUAAGUUUCAACUGUGGAGAGAACAGGUUAAGAAAGAUUUGGAAAGAAUCACUGGAAUACAAGAGCACAGCUAUGAGCAGGGAGAUCUGCUGCUAAGAGAAACAGAUUAUGGGGCUUAUCAUGCUGGCGUUUAUUGUGGGAAUAAUGAAGUCAUCGACUUUACAGGUUCCGAAAGGAAAAUGCAAAGUGUCUUAAAAUCAGAUGUACAUGAAUUUGGCACUGUUUCGAAAAAAAGCCUGAAGCACUUUAAGCUUGGAAAGAAAGUUGAAGUGUAUCGCCUCAGAGCACAGGAAAAAUUUCCAAAAUGUUUUUCUAAAAAUGUAGAGGAAGCAAUGGAUAAGUUUGUUAAAUAUCAUGUAUUGAAGUUCAACUGCCUUCAUUUUGCCCUUUGUGUUCUGGGGCUAUUAGACUGGCAGGAUGAA